rnacentral:rRNA from 1 species
AUAUCAAUAAGCGGAGGAAAAGAAACUAACAAGGAUUCCCCUAGUAACGGCGAGUGAAGCGGGAUGAGCUCAAAUUUGAAAAUCUGGCCUGGUUUACUAGGUCCGAGAUUGUAGAUUUAAUAGAAGCGUUUUCGGUGGCAGGCCUGGGUAUAAAUCCUUUGGAACUAGGGUAUCAUAGAGGGUGAGAAUCCCGUCUUUGACUCAGGCUGUUGUUACUAUGUGAUACGUUUUCAAAGAGUCGAGUUGUUUGGGAAUGCAGCUCAAAAUGGGUGGUAAAUUUCAUCUAAGGCUAAAUAUUGGCGAGAGACCGAUAGCGAACAAGUACCGUGAGGGAAAGAUGAAAAGAACUUUGAAAAGAGAGUUAAACAGUGC